rnacentral:lncRNA from 1 species
GCCUUGGCUCCCAGCAGAACCCUGUGUCCGUUUAGUUGGGAUCCAGGAAGAAUUUUCAGCCAGUUUAAGGUGAUCUGCCCUGUAAAGAAAAGCCAGUUACACUGGGAGCUCAACAGAAAGAGAAUGGAGCUCCAAACGAGGAACUUGGAAAUGCUGAGAAAGACAAGAAAAUCCUCAACUCAAAGGGUUUUCAGAGUGUUACAGGGUUUGAACCUGUGUCUCCUGUGUCUCCUGCACUGCAGGCGGAUUCUUUAUCCACUGAGCCACCUAGGAAAGCCUCUGACCUAUAGAUCAAAACAGUGUGCUACAACCCGCAAAUGAAAGAAAACAUUUGCAAAAUGUAUGUCCAACAAGGGGUUAAUAUCCAAAAUAUACAAGGAACUCAUAUAAUUCACAGAAGAAAUCAUCAUCACCACCACCACCAUCAUCAUUUGAUUAAAUAAUGAGCAGAGGAUUCCAACUGACACCUCUCCAGAGAUGACACACAAAUGGCCCACAGGCACAGGAGAAGGUGCUCAAGAGGACCAGUCAUAAAGGGAAUGCAAAUCAAAAUCACUUUAAAAUAGCACCUCACAGCUAUCAGAAUGGCCAUCAUCAAAAGAUAAGAGAUAAAUACUGGUGAGAAUGUGGAGAAAAGGAACCCCUGGAUUUCUCUCAGACCAGGAAUCAAAUCUGUGACCCCUCUGCAUUGGCAGGCAGAUUCUUAACCACUUGACCACCAGUCUUGUUGGGAAUGCAAAUCUGCACAGCCACCAUGAAAAGAAAUAUUUUGAGAUUCCUCAAAAAAAACAAAAGUAGAAGUACUAUAUGAUCCAGCAAUUCCACCUCUAAGCAUGCGUUCGAGGUAAAUGAAACCACUGUCUCGAAGAAAUAUCAGCACUCUGUUCAGUGCAGUACUAUUCACAAUUGCAAAGCCACAAAAACAACCCAAAUGUCCACCAGCCAGUGAACAAAGAAAACAUUGUAUGCCUGAUCACAUUUUUAUCCACAUGUGAUAUACUACUACCUCAGUAUUUAAGUAAGCAUUGUUUGAACAUCUACCAUGAUGAUUUUAUAACUGUGCUAGACCAUAGACAAAUCUGAAUGGCCAAGAACUGUUC